UAUUGAUAGAGUUUCUGUACUAUAUUGGUACGCGAAUCUUCCAUUUCAGCUUCUGGCAGUUAAUGUUUGGUCAAUUUAUUU